rnacentral:lncRNA from 1 species
AGGGGAUACAUAAGGAAUAACUAAAGCAAUGAUGCAGCAGGUAGCUGAAAUGGGUUAUCCUCUGGAAUCUCUUCAUUUUCUGUCAGCCACCACUAAUGGUCUAUCAGCUACAAUUCGACAAAUUACCACGAGAAUUAGUACUGUUGAGAGAUAUAUCUUGUUUGAUUUAGGCAGUCAGAGUACUCUUCUGUUCUGUCCUCUGCCCUCUCAUCCCAUCCUGUGGACAGAAGCACAAAGACUUGCUAUACCUGAAACAUAUUUGCCUUCAGAAGAACAAGACUUUGAGAAUUGAAAGACCCUGAUCACGUUUUCAGCAGUGCUCCUAUAGAUCCUUGAAAGGCUUCUUUUGAAGAAGAGUUCUUUCAAAAUACAUUUGGAAAUGGAAAAAGUAAGUUUUCAAGAAUGUUACUCUGAAGAUGCUCUUCAAAAAGCUUUAAAUAAAUUUUUGAUAAAAUGUGUG